rnacentral:rRNA from 1 species
AAUCAACGCUGGCGGCGUGCCUCAGACAUGCAAGUCGAACGAUUAAGACUUCCUUCGGGAAGUGCAUAAAGUGGCGCACGGGUGAGUAACACGUAAGUAAUCUACCCUCGAGUGGGGAAUAACAGUCGGAAACGACUGCUAAUACCGCAUAAUGCAGCGGCACCGCAAGGUGACAGUUGUUAAAGGAGCAAUCCGCUUGAGGAGGAGCUUGCGGGAGAUUAGCUAGUUGGUAAGGUAACGGCUUACCAAGGCUACGAUCUGUAUCCGGUCGAAGAGGACGGUCGGAAACAGUGACACUGAAUAACGGGUCAGACUCCUACGGGAGGCAGCAGUCGGGAAUUUUGGGCAAUGGGCGAAAGACUGACCCAGCGACGCCGCGUGAAGGAUGAAGUAUUUCGGUAUGUAAACUUCGAAAGAAUAGGAAGAAUAAAUGACGGUACUAUUUAUAAGCUCCGGCUAACUACGUGCCAGCCGCCGCGGUAAGAC